rnacentral:rRNA from 1 species
GAGUUUGAUCGUGGCUCAGAUUGAACGCUGGCGGCAGGCCUAACACAUGCAAGUCGAGCGGCAGCGCGGGGCAACCUGGCGGCGAGCGGCGGACGGGUGAGUAACGCGUAGGAAUCUACCUGGUAGUGGGGGAUAGCCCGGGGAAACUCGGAUUAAUACCGCAUACGCCUUAGGGGGGAAAGCAGGGGAACUUCGGUCCUUGUGCUAUCAGAAGAGCCUGCGUUGGAUUAGCUAGUUGGUAGGGUAAAGGCCUACCAAGGCGACGAUCCAUAGCUGGUCUGAGAGGAUGAUCAGCCACACUGGGACUGAGACACGGCCCAGACUCCUACGGGAGGCAGCAGUGGGGAAUAUUGGACAAUGGGGGCAACCCUGAUCCAGCCAUGCCGCGUGUGUGAAGAAGGCCUU